rnacentral:rRNA from 1 species
GCAUAUCAAUAAGCGGAGGGAAAAGAAACCAACAGGGGAUUACCUCAGUAACGGCGAGUGAAGCGGUAACAGCUCAAAUUUGAAAUCUGGGCCCCUCGGGCCCCGAGUUGUAAUUUGUAGAAGAUGCUUCGGGUGCGGCGCCGGUCUAAGUUCCUUGGAACAGGACGUCGCAGAGGGUGAGAAUCCCGUAUGUGAUCGGCUGCCUGCGCCCGUGUGAAGCUCUUUCGACGAGUCGAGUUGUUUGGGAAUGCAGCUCUAAAUGGGUGGUAAAUUUCAUCUAAAGCUAAAUAUUGGCCAGAGACCGAUAGCGCACAAGUAGAGUGAUCGAAAGAUGAAAAGCACUUUGGAAAGAGAGUUAAACAGUACGUGAAAUUGUUGAAAGGGAAGCGCUUGCAACCAGACUUGGGCGGGGUCGAUCAUCUAGGGUUCUCCCUGGUGCACUCGACCCCGCGCAGGCCAGCAUCAGUUUCGGUGGCUGGACAAAGGCCAGGGGAAUGUAGCUUCUCUCGGGGAGUGUUAUAGCCCUCGGCGCAAUGCAGCCUACCGGGACUGAGGACCGCGCUUCGGCUAGGAUGCUGGCGUAAUGGUUGUAAGCGACCCGUCUUGAAACACGGACCAAGGAGUCUAACAUCUAUGCGAGUGUUUGGGUGUCAAACCCAUGCGCGGAAUGAAAGUGAACGGAGGUGAGACCCCUCAAGGGCGCAUCACCGACCGGUCCUGAUGUCUUCGGAUGGAUCUGAGUAAGAGCAUAGCUGUUGGGACCCGAAAGAUGGUGAACUAUGCCUGAAUAGGGUGAAGCCAGAGGAAACUCUGGUGGAGGCUCGCAGCGGUUCUGACGUGCAAAUCGAUCGUCAAAUUUGGGUAUAGGGGGCGAAAGACUAAAUCCGAACCAUCUAGUAGCUGGGUUUCCGUGCCGAAGUUUCCCCUUCCACGGAAACAA